rnacentral:snRNA from 1 species
CAUGUCGUUAUCAGUCAUUAACG